rnacentral:sRNA from 1 species
UAGCUCAGUUGGUAGAGCAGUUGACUUUUAAUCAAUUGGUCGCAGGUUCGAGUCGAACGAAGUGAGACAACGGAGCCGCUUGCGGCGACGGCCCGAAGGGCGAGGCGAAGCCGAGUCAUCCUGCACGUGCACCGU